rnacentral:rRNA from 1 species
AUAGGGCGAAUGAGUAUUUGGUCGUAGACCCGAAACCAGGUGAUCUACCCUUGGUCAGGUUGAAGUUCAGGUAACACUGAAUGGAGGACCGAACCGACUUACGUUGAAAAGUGAGCGGAUGAACUGAGGGUAGCGGAGAAAUUCCAAUCGAACUUGGAGAUAGCUGGUUCUCUCCGAAAUAGCUUUAGGGCUAGCCUCAAGUGAUGAUUAUUGGAGGUAGAGCACUGUUUGGACGAGGGGCCCCUCUCGGGUUACCGAAUUCAGACAAACUCCGAAUGCCAAAUAAUUUAACUUGGGAGUCAGAAUGUGGGUGAUAAGGUCCAUAUUCGAAAGGGAAACAGCCCAGACCACCAGCUAAGGUCCCAAAAUAUAUGUUAAGUGGAAAAGGAUGUGGCGUUGCCCAGACAACUAGGAUGUUGGCUUAGAAGCAGCCAUCAUUUAAAGAGUGCGUAAUAGCUCACUAGUCGAGUGACACUGCGCCGAAAAUGUACCGGGGCUAAACAUAUUACCGAAGCUGUGGAUUGUCCUUUGGACAAUGGUAGGAGAGCGUUCUAAGGGCGUUGAAGCAUGAUCGCAAGGACAUGUGGAGCGCUUAGAAGUGAGAAUGCCGGUGUGAGUAGCGAAAGACGGGUGAGAAUCCCGUCCACCGAUUGACUAAGGUUUCCAGAGGAAGGCUCGUCCGCUCUGGGUUAGUCGGGUCCUAAGCUGAGGCCGACAGGCGUAGGCGAUGGAUAACAGGUUGAUAUUCCUGUACCACCAUUAUUCGUUUUAAGCGAUGGGGGGACGCAGUAGGAUAGGCGAAGCGUGCUGUUGGAGUGCACGUCCAAGCAGUGAGAUUGAGU